rnacentral:rRNA from 1 species
AAUAGAUACCCAGGUAGUCCACGCCGUAAACGAUGAGUGCUAGGUGUUGGAGGGAUUACCCUUCAGUGCCGCAGCUAACGCAUUAAGCACUCCGCCUGGGGAGUACGUGCGCAAGCAUGAAACUCAAAGGAAUUGACGGGGACCCGCACAAGCAGCGGAGCAUGUGGUUUAAUUCGAAGCAACGCGAAGAACCUUACCAAGGCUUGACAUCCCUCUGACCGGUGUAGAGAUAUGCCUUUCCCUUCGGGGACAGAGGUGACAGGUGGUGCAUGGUUGUCGUCAGCUCGUGUCGUGAGAUGUUGGGUUAAGUCCCGCAACGAGCGCAACCCUUGCCUUUAGUUGCCAGCACGUAAUGGUGGGCACUCUAGAGGGACUGCCGAUGACAAAUCGGAGGAAGGUGGGGAUGACGUCAAAUCAUCAUGCCCUUUAUGUCUUGGGCUACACACGUGCUACAAUGGUCGGUACAGCGAGCAGCGAGCGAGCGAUCGUGAGCCAAUCUCUG